UUUGAAUUAUUUAAUUUUUAUUAAAUAUAUUAAUAAAAAGUAUUAAAAUUUAAUUCUUUUAAAAAAACUGAAAAGGUAUAUUAAUUACAAAUUAAAAAGUAAUUGUUUUUACCUUUUGCAUAAGGGGUUUCCAAAAAAAAUUAAAUUUAUUAAAUUUCUAGAAAUAAAUUGAUCUAAAUUAUAUAUAGUAUAUAUAUUUCAUUAUAUAUAAAAAUAUUUUUUAGAUGUGAAAUGCUUGUCAAAAUUUAAGAUAACUAGUUUUAAAAAAUUAAUUUUAUAUUAUUCUAUGUUAAUGCUAUUAUUAUAUAAGAUCAUAGAUAAAUUAUUUUGGGAUAAGCUAAAAUAAUAUAUUUUUAAAUAUAUGAAAAUGAAAUUUUAAGGAAUAAAAUUACCCUUUAUAUUGUAAUUAAUAAACUAUCAUUUUUAAUAUAAUUAAUUUUAAUUUUUUAAAUUAAAUAAUAAUGUUUAAUUUGAAAUAUGGGGAUAUCAGUAAAAGAAAAAAUUUUUUAUUUUUUUAAAAAAAUAAAAAAUAUGAAAAAUAAAUUUUAAUAAUUCAGCAAUUAUUUUCUCUGACUGUUUAAUAAAAACAACUCAUUUAGAAUUAAUUAAAUGUAAAUCCUGCUCAAUGAAUAAUUAAAUUGCUGUAGUAUUUUGACUAUACAAAGGUAUUGUAAUAAGAUUUUAAUUGAAUGCUAAAAGAAUGGAAUUACAGGGAAAAACUUUUUUAAAAUUAAAAAUUGAAGUUAUUUCAAUUUGUGAAGAAACAAUUAUAUAAAUUAAGGACAAGAAGACCCUAAGAAUUUAAAAAAUUUACAUUAAUUAAGUAUUUAAUAUAAAUUUUUUGGUUGGGGCAACCAAAAAAUAUUUUUAACUUUUUAAAAAUAACAUGACCCAUUAUUAAUGAUUAUAUAACAAAAUACUCUAGGGAUAACAGCGUAAUAAUUUUAGAUAGAACAUAUAGACAAAAUAGUUUGCGACCUCGAUGUUGGAUUAGGAUACUUUUUUGAUGAAGAUGUCAAAAAAAGAAGUUUGUUCAACUUUUAAAAUCCUACAUGAUCUGAGUUUAGACCGAUGAGAAUCAGGUUGGUUUCUAUCUUAAUUUUAAUAAUUUUUUGGUUAGUACGAAAGGAAUUCCAAAAAUUAAUUUAUUAAAAUAAUGGCAAUUU
rnacentral:rRNA from 1 species